AGACUUUAAAAUAAUUUUUCAUAAUUUAUUUGGUAUUUUUAAUAAUUAAAAACUAAUUUUUCUAAUUUUUAAAUUAAUUUCCGGAAAAUCAGAAAUAAAAAUAAUUAAAACUGUCGCUAAAGGCCCCUAUAGUGACAGAACCGUCGCUAUAGGUGUUCUUGAGCCUACCCAGAUCUUCAUAAGGCAGAACCGAGUGGGCUACUUUGACUGUGAAUAAAUCUCUCAUCGUAACGAAUUUGGACAAUCUAUAAAUUGGGCCUUGUAGAGGAAAUACAAGACUACAAGAUCCAAGAAACAUAACCUCUAAAAAACAUCAGAUCUGGGAGAAAACGAACCUCAAAGUAGCUGCCAAAGCUGUUCUUCACGAAAAACAGCUUCGAGGUGCCUACUUUGGACCUCUAUAACUUAGUGAUCG
rnacentral:lncRNA from 1 species